UUGACGGGGCCGCACAAGCGGAGGAGCAUGUGGUUUAAUUCGAUGAUACGCGAGGAACCUUACCUGGGCUCGAACGUAAGAUGACUGUAGGUGAAAGCUUACAUCUCUUCGGAGCAUUUUACGAGGUGCUGCAUGGUUGUCGUCAGCUCGUGCCGUGAGGUGUCGGGUUAAGUCCCAUAACGAGCGCAACCCCUACCUUUAGUUGCCAUCAGGUAAUGCUGGGGACUCUAAAGGAACUGCCUACGCAAGUAGUGAGGAAGGCGGGGAUGACGUCAAAUCAGCACGGCCCUUACGUCCAGGGCUACACACGUGCUACAAUGGCCGAUACAGAGGGCAGCUACCUGGUGACAGGAUGCAAAUCUCCAAAGUCGGUCUCAGUUCGGAUCGGAGUCUGCAACCCGACUCCGUGAAGUUGGAUUCGCUAGUAAUCGCGCAUCAGCCAUGGCGCGGUGAAUACGUUCCCGGGCCUU
rnacentral:rRNA from 1 species